ensembl:lncRNA
AUGAAAUGGGAGCCCUCAGCGAUCACCUGCUUCAAUCCUUCAUGUUACACGCAAGCUGGCACAGGCGUGUGUACUCCCAUCCCUGGGCCUGGCUCCCAGCCUUUGGAGAUACGGACAAGACUGUCGGGUGAGCUCCAACCACCGCUGCUCUGUCCCGCAGCUUUACGAGGUCGAAAGGACUGGAAGGUCAUCUGGUCAGCUUCCCGCACUUGGUAAGCACUUGGCUAACCUGUGAAGGAAAGUCAGCAUCCUGUCUGAAAUGGGUACCAAAGACGAGUGUGGAAGGAGAGGGCUGAGCAGGCCUGGGUGAUGGAGAGUGUCUGUGUGACACUGAUGUUCCCGCUGAUACCCAUCUGCUCUCCACCCUCUCUGGGACCACACUUGUCAGAAAAAUUACCCUCACCCUCCUUCAGGCUUCUUUCCCAUUCCUCAGAGUCCUUUUCCUCAACCACAGGGCCUUCUUUUUUGGGGUAUACUCAUUUAAUUCAUUUUAUGUGAGGCUGUGAUCAUCAUCAAAACAGAGUGAAUUAAAAGUUCUUGAACUUGGAGUUCCUGUUGUGGCUCAGUGAUAAUGAACUGACUAGUAUCCAAGAGGACCUGGAUUCAAUCCCUGGCCUUGCCCGUGGGUUAAGGAUCCGGCGUUGCUGUGACUGUGGUAUAGGCUGGCAGCUGCAGCUCCGAUUUGACCCCUAGCCUGGGAACCUCCAUAUGCUGCAGGUAAGGCCCUAAAAAGAAAAAAAAAGUCCUUGAACUUGAAAGGAAAAUAUUCUUAGUAGCUAUGCACAAAAUAUCCUCUGAACUGUAGUUUCUCACUGUAUGUUGAUAAGCUUUGAGAAAACAGUCUCUCUUUAGUAUUAAAAACAUAUUGAUUGCUGAAAUUCUCAUGUAUUAAUCAUUAACUUACCUUAUUAAAAACUUUCAGGAGUUCCCGUCGUGGCGCAGUGGUUAAUGAAUCCGACUAGGAACCAUGAGGUUGCGGGUUCGGUCCCUGCUCUUGCUCAGUGGGUUAACGAUCCGGCGUUGCCGUGAGCUGUGGUGUAGGUUGCAGACGCGGCUCGGAUCCCGCGUUGCUGUGGCUCUGGCGUAGGCCAGUGGCUACAGCUCCAAUUCGACCCCUAGCCUGGGAACCUCCAUAUGCCGCGGGAGCGGCCCAAGAAAUAGCAACAACAACAACAAAAAGACAAAAAAAACAAAACAAAACAAAAAAAAACCUUUC